rnacentral:rRNA from 1 species
GACGAACGCUGGCGGUGUGCCUCACACAUGCAAGUCGAACGGGGUAGCAAUACCCAGUGGCGGACGGGUGAGUAACACGUGGGAAUCUGCCCUCAAGUGGUGAAUAACUGGCCGAAAGGCUAGCUAAUGUGCCAUACGUCGCAAGAUGAAAGUAGCAAUACGCUCGAGGAUGAGCCCGCGUCCGAUUAGCUAGUUGGUAGGGUAAAGGCCUACCAAGGCAUCGAUCGGUAGCUGGUCUGAGAGGAUGAUCAGCCACAAUGGGACUGAGAC